rnacentral:lncRNA from 1 species
CCACAGCCUUCAGCCAAUAAUGUGUCUCCUCUGGUUGGCCAGGGGCUGUAGUAAUAAAUGCCUUUCAUAAAACGGCAUCCCUUCCAAGUCAAGCAAUAAAAAUCCCCCACCUAAAAACGCCAGUCAAAUUUACCACACCAGCCCCCCUCGCUCUCUCUCUCUCUCUCUCUCUCUCCACCAACAACUCACACGGUCUUGGAGAAAAAUGUGAAUGGCGAUGAUGAUGAUAGCGAUAAUGAUGUUGUUCUGUAGCAACUCUCCGAUCUUUUAACAGCAUCUCAUUCAGUAUUUUACUCACAUAUUUAUACUGACUAACAUAUAUAUCUAUUCUACUAUGUUUAGUCUUCAUUUCAAGUGUUAAUUAAAGGUAUUCUUCGAAUCUCAAUGCGAUUAUCUUUUGCUGUUUUUUCCUGGUUGGAGACUUUUUAGCUCGAUUUUUGAAGCUAUAUUGUUUUUAUUCGGUCUUUUAGGAUUUUUCCCCAAAUCUUGAAGUAGUUAUUAGGUAAAUUUUUGUUUAUACAAUGGCGUUGUUGAACUUUUUUCCCCAAUUUCCAUCUUGUUACUUUUGUUGUGUGUAAUCAGUAAUAUUACUUGUUUCAACCUGAAUGACUGCGAAUCUUUGAUGACUAUUUGACAAAAAAUAGGAAUUACAUAGUUCUCUACAUAUGAUUAUUGAAUCGUAGAAGUUCAAGGGUCAAUGAAACGCCUAUGAAAUAAACGACUAGAUACCGCAAUCUCUUGAACAUUUUGAUUGCCCGAGAUUUUGUUUUUAUCUGUUUCUAAUUUUCC